rnacentral:rRNA from 1 species
UACAGAGGUGGCAAGCGUUGUUCGGAAUUACUGGGCGUAAAGGGCGAGUAGGCGUCCUUCUAAGUCAGACGUGAAAUCCCCCGGCUUAACCUGGGAACUGCGUCUGAUACUGGGAGGCUCGAGUAUGGGAGAGGGAUGUAGAAUUCCAGGUGUAGCGGUGAAAUGCGUAGAUAUCUGGAGGAAUACCGGUGGCGAAGGCGGCAUCCUGGACCAUUACUGACGCUGAGGUGCGAAAGCGUGGGGAGCAAACAGG